rnacentral:tRNA from 1 species
GCCCGGGUGGCUCAGUCAGUUGAGCGUCCGACUUCAGCUUAGACCAUGAUCUCACAGUUCAUGGGUUCGAGCCCCGCUUCGGGCU